rnacentral:rRNA from 2 species
AGAGACUGAUCGGCCACAAUGGGANUGAGACACGGCCCAUACUCCUACGGGAGGCAGCAGUAGGGAAUCUUCCACAAUGGGCGCAAGCCUGAUGGAGCAACACCGCGUGAGUGAAGAAGGGUUUCGGCUCGUAAAGCUCUGUUGUUAAAGAAGAACACGUAUGAGAGUAACUGUUCAUACGUUGACGGUAUUUAACCAGAAAGUCACGGCUAACUACGUGCCAGCAGCCGCGGUAAUACGUAGGUGGCAAGCGUUAUCCGGAUUUAUUGGGCGUAAAGAGAGUGCAGGCGGUUUUCUAAGUCUGAUGUGAAAGCCUUCGGCUUAACCGGAGAAGUGCAUCGGAAACUGGAUAACUUGAGUGCAGAAGAGGGUAGUGGAACUCCAUGUGUAGCGGUGGAAUGCGUAGAUAUAUGGAAGAACACCAGUGGCGAAGGCGGCUACCUGGUCUGCAACUGACGCUGAGACUCGAAAGCAUGGGUAGCGAACAGGAUUAGAUACCCUGGUAGUCCAUGCCGUAAACGAUGAGUGCUAGGUGUUGGAGGGUUUCCGCCCUUCAGUGCCGGAGCUAACGCAUUAAGCACUCCGCCUGGGGAGUACGACCGCAAGGUUGAAACUCAAAGGAAUUGACGGGGGCCCGCACAAGCGGUGGAGCAUGUGGUUUAAUUCGAAGCUACGCGAAGAACCUUACCAGGUCUUGACAUCUUGCGCCAACCCUAGAGAUAGGGCGUUUCCUUCGGGAACGCAAUGACAGGUGGUGCAUGGUCGUCGUCAGCUCGUGUCGUGAGAUGUUGGGUUAAGUCCCGCAACGAGCGCAACCCUUGUUACUAGUACGUCAGAUCAUCAUGC